rnacentral:rRNA from 1 species
AGAACGAACGCUGGCGGCAGGCCUCAAACAUGCAAGUCUAGGGGGUGUAGCAAUACAUCACCGGCGGACGGGUGCGUAACGCGUGGGAAUAUACCUAUUGGUUCGGAACAACUGCGGGAAACUGCAGCUAAUACCGAAUGUGCCCGAAAGGGGAAAGAUUUAUCGCCAAUAGAUUAGCCCGCGUAGGAUUAGCUAGUUGGUGGGGUAAUGGCCCACCAAGGCUCCGAUCCUUAGCUGUUCUGAGAGGAAGAUCAGCCACACUGGGACUGAGACACGGCCCAGACUCCUACGGGAGGCAGCAGUUGGGAAUCUUGGACAAUGGGGGAAACCCUGAUCCAGCCAUGCCGCGUGAGUGAUGAAGGCCUUCGGGUUGUAAAACUCUUUCGACGGGGACGAUAAUGACGGUACCCGUAGAAGAAGCUCCGGCUAACUUCGUGCCAGCAGCCGC